rnacentral:rRNA from 1 species
GACGUAGGGCGCGAGCGUUGUCCGGAUUUAUUGGGCGUAAAGAGCUCGUAGGCGGCUUGUUGCGUCGACUGUGAAAACCCGCGGCUUAACCGCGGGCUUGCAGUUGAUACGGGCAGGCUAGAGUUCGGUAGGGGAGACUGGAAUUCCUGGUGUAGCGGUGAAAUGCGUAGAUAUCUGGAGGAACACCGGUGGCGAAGGCGGCAUCCUGGACCAACACUGACACUGAGGAGCGAAAGCCAGGGGAGCAAACGGG